GAUGAACGCUGGCGGCGUGCCUAAUUCAUGCAAGUCGAGCGAACAGACGAGGAGCUUGCUCCUCUGACGUUAGCGGCGGACGGGUGAGUAACACGUGGAUAACCUACCUAUAAGACUGGGAUAACUUCGGGAAACCGGAGCUAAUACCGGAUAACAUGUUGAACCGCAUGGUUCAACAGUGAAAGACGGUUUUGCUGUCACUUAUAGAUGGAUCCGCGUCGCAUUAGCUAGUUGGUAAGGUAACGGCUUACCAAGGCAACGAUGCGUGGCCGACCUGAGAGGGUGAUCGGCCACACUGGAACUGAGACACGGUCCAGACUCCUACGGGAGGCAGCAGUAGGGAAUCUUCCGCAAUGGGCGAAAGCCUGACGGAGCAACGCUGCGUGAGUGAAGAAGGUCUUCGGAUCGUAAAACUCUGUUAUUAGGGAAGAACAAAUGUGUAAGUAACUAUGCACGUCUUGACGGUACCUAAUCAGAAAGCCACGGCUAACUACGUG
rnacentral:rRNA from 1 species